GAUGAACGCUAGCUACAGGCUUAACACAUGCAAGUCGAGGGGUAGCAGGGUAGCAAUACCGCUGACGACCGGCGCACGGGUGAGUAACACGUAUCCAACCUUCCCAUAACUCGGGGAUAGCCUUUCGAAAGAAAGAUUAAUACCGGAUGGUACUUUUUCAAGGUAUCUUGAGAAAGUUAAAGAUUUAUUGGUUAUGGAUGGGGAUGCGUUCCAUUAGAUAGUUGGUGAGGUAACGGCUCACCAAGUCUUCGAUGGAUAGGGGUUCUGAGAGGAAGGUCCCCCACAUGGGUACUGAGACACGGACCAAACUCCUACGGGAGGCAGCAGUGAGGAAUAUUGGUCAAUGGGCGAGAGCCUGAACCAGCCAAGUAGCGUGAAGGAUGAAGGUCCUAUGGAUUGUAAACUUCUUUUAUAGUAGAAUAAAGUGAUCCACGUGUGGAUUUUUGUAUGUAUACUAUGAAUAAGGAUCGGCUAACUCCGUGCCAGCCGCCGCGGUAA
rnacentral:rRNA from 1 species